GGAACACCAUCGAUGUGGGCAUACCUACAUGCAAAUGUGGCAUUUAAUUGAUGUUGAAAACCCCUUUUGAGGGUAGCGAAGACCAUGAAGAGAGGGAGGCGUAAAUAAACUGUCAAAUUGUCUGCUAAUUUCCAACCAAAAUAUAUAGGGAAACAAUGAAUGGGUAUGAAUGUGGAAUGGAUGGUAGGUUAAAAAUAUUUAUUUGGAAAAAAAAUCGAAUGGCGUUUUCUUUGAUUUCAACGUGGAAGUAUUGAUUGGCCAACUGUUGAUCAAGUGAUUUUAAGAUGCUGGGCACAGUCUUGCUGGGGAAGCGUCCACAAAAACAGUCUGUUAAAAAGAAACCCUUCACAGAGGUCGAGUUAUCAGGUAAGUUGAUAAACUUUUAAAUUUCUUAUCGCUAUUUGACACAUCUUUAUCCUUGAAGUAAAUUUUAUUUUGAAGGAAAUUGCAUAGCGAAUUCAAUUUGGCUAUACUAAAAGUGGCCUUUGGCUAAGUAAGCAAUUCACUCAAAGUCACUGUGUCUUAAAGAGUACCUCAAGGUGCCUGGUACACAUUACCCUUUAAAAGCAAUUAACGGCAAUAAAUUAUCAACUAUACCCUGAACUCAAGAAUUUUUGUGUUAAUUUGCCUAAAAUAGUUCAGACAUUGAACAAGGAGGUGUUGUGUAAAAAUAAUGCAAAUUAAAUGGAUGACGCGACUGUGACCAAGCAAACCUGGGC
rnacentral:sRNA from 1 species